AUGGGUUCCCAAGGCAAUCAUACCUUCCAUCCAUACCCCUCAAGCUCCGCCUUCCGCCUCGAGUUCCCAAAAAACUCUGCUCUACCCCGUCCCAUCUCCAUACAGCUCUCAAAGAAGCCACCGCCCCACUCGAGCACCCAAGCCAUGGCGAGCUACCCACUGAAUCUGGUUCCAUUCCUUCCUCCGGGGUUCACCGUCAAACCAGGGUCGGCUGAUCGCCUCAUCCACAGCGGCAUGGUGGUAGGGCUAAUACCACCUCUGAACCAUGAUUUCUUGUCCAUAGCCAAGACAAGUCCCUACGUUCCUCUCCACAGCCGAGCAGCCAUCUACAACAUGAUCGUCGAUCUUCUCCAUGAAUCUCAGCUCUUUACCACUGAAAGGAGAAGCAGCCAACUUUUAAGAGUGGAGUUAGCCCUAGAUUUCCUAGGCGUCAAAGGAGCGCUCGAGCACCUCGCUUCCUUACCUGGGUCGCCGUCUACAUUGGGCCUUGACUUGGGCUGUUGGUAUUGCAAUCUUCCAGCGAUAGCUGAUAGCAGCCUAGGUCUAGGAAUCAUGUGCUGCUAUCAGCUAUCGCGUGAAUCCUGUGGGGGUGCGAGGGAAGUUCUGGCGGCGGCAGAUGUGGUGCACACGGUGGAAGGGGAGAUGGGAUCUAAAGGAGGAAGGCAGGAUCGGGGGAGAAGGGAUGAGGAUGCAGCGAGGAGAAGGGAAGGAGGUGAGCAGGACUCGCAGAAGGGGGACCUGUCGAACAGAGGGGAGGAGGAGUACGGCGACUUCCAUGACCAUGAUAUAGAGGGCCAGUUUGCGGGGAUGCAUCUGCACGGGAAGGAGGAGGAAGACCUGGAUUUCUCAGAAGAGGUAGAAGAUUUAAUCAAGGACAUUCGCUGGCUCGCUUUGUUCCGCGUUCAAACCACAAAGCCUUUUAGUCAUGCGGCGCUCCUGACUCAGAUGCGCAAUGCGUGGUCAGCGGCACAAGGGGUCACCUUCAACAUUAAGGGACCUAACCUUUUUCUUGUCCACUGUCAUUGUCUGGGGGAUUGGAGGAAGAUUAUGGAGGGAGGACCAUGGUUAUUUAGAAGGGAUCCGGUGGUGAUCGAGGAAUAUGAUGGCUUUUCUGAUGUGAAUGAGUAUAGUCUCAACAAGAUUCCACUGUGGGCUCGUGUGAAGGGCUUACCUGAUAGCUUAACAAGGAAGAAAGAGUUGGCUGAAAAGGUUGCUGCAAAGGUUGGCGAGCCUCCCUUCACGGUGAUCGUCAACGAGGGGAGAAUCAAUCCAGCAAGCACCCUACGUGCACGUGUUUUUAUGGAUGUAGACACACCACUGCCGGCGCAACAGAUGGACUUGGAUGCUGAAAAAGGAGCUCGUAAGCGGCUGGUUAAUGCCGAUGGAUCUCUCACUGUCAGGGGGCAACCGAUAUCGAACCUCGCUGGUAAAGUUGCUGGAACGGUCUUGUUGCUGGAGGGUGCGACUCCAAGCUCUAGUAACAGUGCUCUGGUAUCUACUCCAGAGAAGAAUCCUAUAGUUAAGAGGAGGAGGCAGCAAGGGGACGAUGGGAAGGAUAUGGAGUUAACUACGGAGGCGGCCUCCCUCGAGGAGCGCCGCCGAGCGUGA
rnacentral:rRNA from 1 species